CGAUGUAGCUUGCUACAGGCGUCGAGCGGCGGUGGGUGAGUAACGCGUAGGAACCUACCUAGUAGUUUGGGAUAGCCCAGAGAAAUUUGGAUUAAUACCGAAUACGCCCCACGGGGGAAAGCGGAGGAUCUUCGGACUUCGCGCUAUUAGAUGGGCCUGCGUAAGAUUAGCUUGUUGGUGAGGUAAUGGCUCACCAAGGCGACGAUCUUUAGCUGGUUUGAGAGGAUGAUCAGCCACACUGGGACUGAGACACGGCCCAGACUCCUACGGGAGGCAGCAGUGGGGAAUAUUGCACAAUGGGCGAAAGCCUGAUGCAGCCAUACCGCGUGUGUGAAGAAGGCUCUAGGGUUGUAAAGCACUUUCAGUAGGGAGGAAAGGUUGUAGAUUAAUACUCUGCAGCUGUGACGUUACCUACAGAAGAAGGACCGGCUAACUCCGUGCCAGCAGCCGCGGUAAUACGGAGGGUCCGAGCGUUAAUCGGAAUUACUGGGCGUAAAGCGUACGUAGGUGGUUUGUUAAGUUGGAUGUGAAAGCCCAGGGCUCAACCUUGGAACUGCAUUCAAAACUGAUGAACUA
rnacentral:rRNA from 1 species